GGCGGGGCUUGGGGAGGACACGCCGUGCGCCAACCAACGCCCCCUGGCGGCCGCUCUCUGCACACGCUCCCGUGAGGCCGUGGGAAACCGCGCUCGUUCGUGCGAAAUGGAAUUCCCUUUGCUUCAGUUCCAAACAAAGAUCUCUACAGUCACUUCAAGCAUUUUUGCACCAAUAGAUUAAGAUUUAGCUCCUGGCUCACUGCCGCUCUCUCCAGCACUGCUCCUGUCAUGAUUCCUGGUGAGUUCAGUAUCCACUUGCGGCCCCUUGGCUUCCUCUCCUCCGGUGACCCCGUCCUCCGCUGCACCGCAGCCACUUGCUCCCUUGCCAGCCCUUCGACCUCGGCAUGAUCCCGCUCUCUGCUGUCCUUGCAGCUGACUUUCCCUAGGACUCCAGCACUGACGACGAUGCUCCCACCCCACCGGGACCACCCAUCCAUCGAACCUAUGCCCUUUCCCUGUUCCUUCCGCUGCCCCUCCGUGUCUCCUCUUCCCUCCUUAUUUAGCUUAAAUUGUAUCAGCCACUCACUCGUCCACACCCUGCCCUUUCUUGUACUUGCCUGGAGAGACCGUAACCCUAGUAAAUCCAGUCCUCCACCUGCUCGACAGCCUGUGCCUCUGACAGCUGAAUGAGCCUGGAGGAGACCGACUGACCUCACUCCGGGUUCACGACCACUGACUUCAAGUGGGCCCUGAAGGCUGCCCCACAGUUCUACAUUUCUCCGGUGCAGCCACCCUCCCAUUCUCCUGGAGCAGUGCUCCUCAAGCUUUAGUGUGCACACGAAUCACCUGGGGAUCUUGGUCGACUACAGAUUCUGACAACUUCCCAGGUGACCUGCAUGCUGCUGGCCUGUGAUUAGCAAGGGCCUAGGCCAGGGGCUGGCAAACAUUUUCUGAUAGCAAAUAUUUUAGGCUUUGCAGGCGACAUAUGAUGUUUAUUACAACUAUUCAACUCUGCUGCUGUAGCUAGAUAGUACAUAAACUAGUGGGUGUGACCAGGUUCCGAUAAAAUUUUAGUUACAGAGACUAAAAUUUGAAUUUCGUAGAAUUCUUUUGUAUCACAAAAUAUUAUUCUUUUGAUUUUUUCCAUCAUUUACAAAUAUAAAAGCCAUUCUUAGCAGGCUGUACACAAAUAGGCAGUGGCCAGGCUUGGUCCACUUUUGGCCUAAAUGACAGUUUUAACCCUUCUUCCUCCGUUCUCACUCUCAGUGAUGCCCUUGCUUCCUAGCCACCGAGGAAACUUCAGCAAUGGCAGGAGAACUUCCAUAACUCACCUACCGCAUCCCAGCUACCAGCACUGUACUCUAAUCCUCUGCCUUCGUCCUGUUCCUUCAAUGGAUCCUAACCCCUGUCACCUAUUCAGAAACCUGCCUCUGGCAGUUCCUCCCUUUUUGUCCCUGCUUUUCCCUGGAUUGUUCCCAUCAACACACAAAUAAAUACGCAGUCGUUUCUCCCA